AGUGAACGCUGGCGGUAGGCCUAACACAUGCAAGUCGAACGGCAGCACAGUAAGAGCUUGCUCUUACGGGUGGCGAGUGGCGGACGGGUGAGGAAUACAUCGGAAUCUACUUUUUCGUGGGGGAUAACGUAGGGAAACUUACGCUAAUACCGCAUACGACCUACGGGUGAAAGCAGGGGAUCUUCGGACCUUGCGCGAUUGAAUGAGCCGAUGUCGGAUUAGCUAGUUGGCGGGGUAAAGGCCCACCAAGGCGACGAUCCGUAGCUGGUCUGAGAGGAUGACCAGCCACACUGGAACUGAGACACGGUCCAGACUCCUACGGGAGUCAGCAGUGGGGAAUAUUGGACAAUGGGCGCAAGCCUGAUCCAGCCAUACCGCGUGGGUGAAGAAGGCCUUCGGGUUGUAAAGCCCUUUUGUUGGGAAAGAAAAGCAGCAGGUUAAUACCCCGCUGUUCUGACGGUACCCAAAGAAUAAGCACCGGCUAACUUCGUG
rnacentral:rRNA from 1 species